GCCAAAGUUGGCAUGUGAUACCUUUUCGGAAAGCCCAAAGACAGCCCUCCGACGAAAGAAGCAGGACAAUGGAAUUUCUCCAUUGACGUUUUGUCGACCCCAAAUUUUGACCUUUAAGUACUUUUUCGGGCAUUUUCGUGAUUUGGGCUAUAUUACGGACCCAAAAUUACUUGUUCAAGCAUUGUUUUCGAAUUUUUUCAUGCAUCAAAGCUCGUUAAGACUAGAUGGGGUAUCCCUACAUAGCGGGUGGAACCACGGCGAAUGGUUCAUCAAGUCUUCAAAAAAGAAUAUAUACGAUUGCAUUGCAUAUACUAACGGAUGCGAUCAUACCAGCACUAAUGCACCGGAUCCCAUCAGAACUCCGCAGUUAAGCGUGCUUGGGCGAAAGUAGUACUAGGAUGGGUGACCUCCCGGGAAGUCCUCGUGUUGCAUCCCUCUUUUAUGUUUAACCUUUUUUUUUUUGGUUAAAACUUUAUGACUCCAUAACUUCUAGACAG
rnacentral:rRNA from 1 species